rnacentral:rRNA from 1 species
GCUCAACCGGGGAGGGUCAUUGGAAACUGGGGAACUUGAGUGCAGAAGAGGAGAGUGGAAUUCCACGUGUAGCGGUGAAAUGCGUAGAGAUGUGGAGGAACACCAGUGGCGAAGGCGACUCUCUGGUCUGUAACUGACGCUGAGGCGCGAAAGCGUGGGGAGCGAACAGGAUUAGAUACCCUGGUAGUCCACGCCGUAAACGAUGAGUGCUAAGUGUUAGAGGGUUUCCGCCCUUUAGUGCUGCAGCAAACGCAUUAAGCACUCCGCCUGGGGAGUACGGUCGCAAGACUGAAACUCAAAGGAAUUGACGGGGGCCCGCACAAGCGGUGGAGCAUGUGGUUUAAUUCGAAGCAACGCGAAGAACCUUACCAGGUCUUGACAUCCUCUGACAACCCUAGAGAUAGGGCUUCCCCUUCGGGGGCAGAGUGACAGGUGGUGCAUGGUUGUCGUCAGCUCGUGUCGUGAGAUGUCGGGUUAAGUCCCGCAACGAGCGCAACCCUUGAUCUUAGUUGCCAGCAUUCAGUUGGGCACUCUAAGGUGACUGCCGGUGACAAACCGGAGGAAGGUGGGGAUGACGUCAAAUCAUCAUGCCCCUUAUGACCUGGGCUACACACGUGCUACAAUGGGCAGAACAAAG